rnacentral:lncRNA from 13 species
CAUAACUCCUGUGAACCACUCAUCCUUUCACUGUCUCCAAAGUUUUGACUUUCCAGAAUGUCGUAUAGUUGGAAUUAUACAGUAUAUAGCUAUUUCAGAUUGAGUUCUUUCACUUAGUAAUAUGCAUUUAGUUUCUGUCUUCUUGAUGAAGCUGCUAUAAACAUCUGUGUACAGGUUUUACAUGGACAUCGUUUACAGCUCCUUUACAUAAAGGAAUGAGAUUGUUGGAUCACAUGGCUCUUCGCCAUUCAAAUCCUCCCUACACGCGGAAGCAUAAUCCAUCUCUGGUAUUGGCAGUGGCAAAACUCAGACUUUUGUUGAUGGCAUCUGGAUGCACUUGUCUUUGUUUUGAGUACAUCAGGUCAUGGGUGUUGGUGGUGAUGGAGCAAGGCUAAGGCAAGAAAGA